rnacentral:rRNA from 1 species
UAGUUGGUGGGGUAAAGGCUCACCAAGGCAACGAUCCGUAGCUGGUUUGAGAGGACGACCAGCCACACUGGGACUGAGACACGGCCCAGACUCCUACGGGAGGCAGCAGUGGGGAAUUUUGGACAAUGGGGGAAACCCUGAUCCAGCCAUCCCGCGUGUAUGAUGAAGGCCUCCGGGUUGUAAAGUACUUUUGGCAGAGAAGAAAAGGUAUCUCCUAAUACGAGAUACUGCUGACGGUAUCUGCAGAAUAAGCACCGGCUAACUACGUGCCAGCAGCCGCGGUAAUACGUAGGGUGCAAGCGUUAAUCGGAAUUACUGGGCGUAAAGCGUGUGUAGGCGGUUCGGAAAGAAAGAUGUGAAAUCCCAGGGCUCAACCUUGGAACUGCAUUUUUAACUGCCGAGCUAGAGUAUGUCAGAGGGGGGUAGAAUUCCACGUGUAGCAGUGAAAUGCGUAGAUAUGUGGAGGAAUACCGAUGGCGAAGGCAGCCCCCUGGGAUAAUACUGACGCUCAGACACGAAAGCGUGGGGA